UAACCAUCGGCUAUUCGCGGCCUGCAUCAUCAUAAGACACAUAAAUGAUUUUGUCACUAAAUCUUAAAAGAAACUUACAUUUUCAUCUGAAAACCAAUGUUCCUUUCUUAGUGCAGCUUUCCACAUGGUCAAUGAAAGCUUGUCACUUGGAGGCUCUUCUGCGCAUUGUGUUUUAGUUACCGCGUAUAGCACUAUGUUUCGCAUGCACUUCACUGUUUGAAUGAAAUCUGGCGGAUCGCAUCGUUAUAUAUUCAUUUGCUUCGUCGGAAAAUAGACAACGACCACUUAUUCCAAAUACUUUUUUUGACGUCGAACUAGUUUGAGGUGUUGACCAUGCCAUGAUUUCCUGAUAAAUGUGUUGUAUAAUGCCUUGAUUCACUAUAUACACGAUUAGCAAAUGCUGCUUGAUCACGUUGGGCAAGCUACUUUACACCUGUGUCCUCAUUCCGGAUGGGGAACAAUCUUAGCAAUGUUCAGUGUGACGUUUUAAGUUCACCUCGGAUACUAUUUUUGCUGUAAAUUGACGUUAUCUCAAAAGACGUAUCAUAUGAGCACAUGAAAAAUUAUACUAGUUGGAGAAAAAACCUUUAGCCCAUUUUACAAAGGAGGAUUUUUUCCCAGUCUCUUAAUGUAGGAAUAGCUAUCAGAAGUAGUCGUAGGUUGAUCUCACUGGGUCGUGCUCUCUGUCAGCUAAAGUAAAAACAUUAAAAUUUGAUACACAUAUAAUCAUUAUAUAUAAUCACCUUUUUAAUGAUAAUCGUGAUACAAGGGUAGCAUAAGUAUAAGGCGCAAAAGACAAGUAAUCAUUACCAUGAACUUAUGUCACUGCCAAAUAUAGCACAAAGAGCGGGAAAUAGGUCAAAUAAAGCUCAAAAACUGAGUAAUAGUUACUUUGGAACCACUCGCANGAAUGGUUAUGUCAAUCAUUGUUAUACCGUAUAUGGUGAGCUAGCUCUGGUUUAUAAGGCUUUGGGGCUAGAAGCGGGAAAUUCAAAAGCUUUUCCGGCCUCUAAAGGGUAAUCAACAGAAGCGGAGAAGAGAGAACAUUCGACAAUUUCUUCGACUCCACUUCUUUAUGAGUUUGGAUUUCUAACCUCAUAUCCAAAACAGACNAAUGAACUUUUNAUAUGGUGAGUUUUUCUUAAUAGCCAAGGAUUUUACAACCAUUCUUGAUUCCAUAUUUGGCGGGAAAAAUGUGAAUUAGUUGUUUUGCUUUUCCNCUUGUGAUAUUUGAUCUAACUUAUAUGUUCAUAUUGAUUGCAAGUUGUUAAAACGGGAAAGAGAAGAUGAGCGAUUCAGAAUCAGAUCCCGAUCGUUCAGUAAGUUUUUUGUUGAAAUUUCAUGCCAACUGUACUUCGAAUAUCAAUUCAAUUUAUGACUUAAAUCUACAAGGUGAUGAUAGACGAGGCUUCAAGAUGGCACGCUACCUGCUCAUCAGGCGAGAGUACAGAUGAAAAUGAACGGGAAACAGUGGUACGAAAUAACAUACUGUAUACAUAUUUAUUUCUUUAUAUACAGCUGGGCUUAACACAUUUCAUUAUAGGAAAAAGCACUACAGAGAUUUCGCUCUUGUCAGCAAGAGCUGAAAUCAUCGAUUGCAAGACAAAAAAAUCUAUCUCGCCGAAAGCGGAAAAGCAACAGUGUAAGUUUGCGUAUACAAUAAAACAUUUCAAUAACUGAAUAAGUUAUAAAUGUAUUUUUGUUCUUUUUCGAAGAAACCACGUCAUGUUCGCAGAUCAAAAGCACUAGAAGAAACUCAAAUUAAGAAGGUGCUUUCACUGCGGUGUUGUAAGAAAAACACCUGUUUAAAACAAUUUGAGACUGGCGAAGUUAUGAAGUGGAGGACAUCCUUCUGGGAACAGUCAGAAGACCAACAAAGGCAGUUUCUGUUGACUGCUUUCUCGCUAAAUAUGCACUAUGGAGAAAAUCAGAUACGAAAGUAUAACUUCAGUAUUUAUGGGAAAUCAGUAUGUCAUAACGCGUGGUAUAAGUUACUGGGAAUUUCUAAUGGAUGGUUUUAUGGUUUGCUAAAAGAAUACGACGAGGGAAGAAUUUCAGGACAAAGCAACCGAAGUGGGAUUACUUGGAUGUCUGCGUAAAAAAAAAAAAAAAUGCGUAAAGCUAUUGCAUGGCUUAAAAGGCAUGUGGAAAAUCAUGGCGACAGAAUGCCGAAUGAAGACAGAAUUUGUUUGCCAAGUUGUCAAAGCAAGAAUGAGCUCCACAAUCUCUAUAAGAAAGACUGCUUGGCUAGUAAGACGGNGUACAUAGGCAAGUCAGCUUUUAAAAGCAUGUGGAGGAAAGUUUAAUUGAAGUAAUGGACUGAAAAAUUAUUGCCAGAAACAUGAAAACGUUACUAAUAAACAACAACAACAAAGAAAACCCUACAGCAAGAAUGUCAAAUGCCCAAAGGAAUUGGUGGGGGUCAUUUAUAAAGCAACAGCAAAAAACAAAAGACAUGUGGGACGCGAUGACUCAAGCUGAAAAAGAUAAAUUACCUAACAUUGGUAAAUUCAAGGAGGACAGUGAACCACAGCUGUCUGAAGAAGCUUUGAGACAGCGAGAUUAAUUGAAUAGAUUAGAGCAGAAACAGUGCAAGUUUCCCAGGAUCAUAGCAGGAAAAAACACUGAAAAGACGGCAGAUAAAAAAGCCAAGAGAAGAGGAAGGAAAAGAAAAGAAACAAGAGAGCAAGAAACUGAUAAGGAAAAUUCUGAACCGAAAAAGAGAGGAAGACCCCGAAAGACAAAACAGUAGAGAUUAGUUAAAAUAAUAAUAUUAAUUCCUUAGUAUCAUAACAGUUUUCAUCAUCUAGAUAUCUUAUGCGAAUUUGAUCACCGCUAAAUGUGAAAUGACUUUGAAGUCAUUGCUUGAUCUUGGAAAGUAAAUCUGAAUACGAUUCAUUGCAAUUCAUGAAGAACAAUCCACAUUUUGAAAAGUGUUCUCCGUAAAAGACUUUCACGUGGUAUUCCGCCAUCUUACGCAGCAAAUGCCUUUUUCUAAUAUCACGUGACCUUUUGGGAUAUACCUUUAAUUCCACUGAUAGCAUUUGGAUUAUCUUCUCUAAUAGCGUAAUUUCCGCAGCAUCACGUCUAGCUGAAAACAUAAUUAAGAAAACAACCCUUUUUGGGGGGAGGGGGCUUGAUUUUUAGCCACUACGCAGGCUGAGUUAUUUUUUUUCUAUUGCUUUCAGAUAAAUAAAUUCACGACUACAAAAACUCUCGUUCAGAGUCGUUAAAACUUCAUUAUUGACAUUGCCCCUAUGAUAAAAAUGGGAAAUAAAGACCAAUAGACCCGAUAUAGUGGUGAAGAAUAAGAAAGAGAAAACCUGCUUGCUUUGGCUUGUCCGGAAAGGCUGACGGCGAGAUAAGCGGCUUUUCGUCGUUAUUCCAGCCGUUAUUUCGGAGACCACUUCAAACUGGGCCUCGUAGUCUUCUCAUGCAUUAUCCCUUCAUACGUAGCAGGUUGGACUCGUGGAUUUUUGAGCUGAGAUUUGUUUUCGACAUCGUCCCCUUUCAGUGGCGUCAAUAAUAUCAGUGUUACUAGAUAUUCUCUGCUAAUUCACAUUUAGCAAGAGCUCCGAACUGUUCAUCGUAUUUAAGUUGGCUUCCG
rnacentral:lncRNA from 1 species